UACCAAUCAUCCUGCUGUUGCUAUGCCGACGCGCCUCGUAUGGUGUACGGGCGUCGGCAUCGCGAAGAAUUUCAGAAAUUGGACAUGCUAUGCGCUCAUCACUAACGUUACAGGCCGUCGUCGGCUCGCGUCACCUGCGUGAUGGUGAGCGCGGCCGUGCCGUCGCGCGAGAUGUUCCACUGGCGACGGCUGCCGGCAGCGCCCGAGCCCAGAUCGAGAACCACGGGGUGGCCAUUGCGCAUCCACUGCACGCUUCCACCGGGAGUCUCGAGGAAGCACGGGAUGCUGAGGCUCUCGCCGGGGUUCACCACCUGCAGCCACCGCGAGGCCAGAAGAGUGCACGUUGGACAUCAACGUAUUUACAUGAGACCCGUGGCGUAGUGCUCCCAGGGACCUUUGAAAAGCUGUGUUGAAGCCGCAGACAGCAGAAAGUCGUCGGUCGGAACAAAGAGAGUGCCGCAAGUUGGUCUACAGUGCCUGAUGGUGUCAGUAGCGUCAUAUUCUAUAGUUUGACUGUACUCACGAUAAACUUAACCUAGAGGGCCAUUGCAGCAGCUUCAACGGAACGAGUAACCAAUUAAUUGGUUGAAACACGCCUACGGCCCUGAUCGACUUUCUGACUGACUGAAUAAACUUUAUUGAAACCAGCAAGAGAUGGUGGCUGGGCCUAGGCCUCCCACGUGAUCAACUUUCUGUGAAAUA